rnacentral:rRNA from 1 species
CCCUUAGAUGUUCUGGGCCGCACGCGCGCUACACUGAUGCAUUCAACGAGUCUAAAACCUGGUCUGAUAGGGCUGGGUAAUCUUUUGAAUGUGCAUCGUGAUUGGGAUAGAUGAUUGCAAUUCUUCAUCUUCAACGAGGAAUGCCUAGUAAACGCAAGUCAUCAGCUUGCAUUGAUUACGUCCCUGCCCUUUGUACACACCGCCCGUCGCUCCUACCGAUUGAAUGUUCCGAUGAAUACCAUGGACUGAGAGUAUGAAUGGGUUCGCCCAUUUCUGCUUCUCGGGAAGUGGAGUAAAUCUUAACAUUUAGAGGAAGGAGAAGUCGUAACA